UUUGUAUCUUUAGGUGGUCCGACAGUUAAGCGUCCUGUGGAUGUAUCAGAGAAGGAAAUUGAUGCCGCGGGAGAUGGCGAUGUGUUGGUCAUUUUGGAUCUCAGAGCCGAUCAAUCAUUGAUCGAAGCUGGAGUGGCUCGAGAGGUUGUAAACAGAAUCCAGAAAUUACGGAAGACUGCUCAGCUUGAACCUACAGACUUAAUUGAUGUUUACUACGAGUCUGUAGACAACAGCAGCAAUACACUUGAAGAAAUUUUGCAGUCACAGGAUCAGUAUAUUAGGGACGUGCUUGGUAAUUCACUAGUUCCAAAGGCAGCGGCAACAAAGAUAUGGUAGAAGAUAGCGACAGAGUUUGAAGGUAUGUGCAAAGAUCUUCUCCUCCGUCGCCGUCCGCGACAAAGCUGUUGGGUGCAUCCGUCCAUCAUCUUUAGAUCUGAGUGAAGAGGGCAUCCGUCCAUCUCAAAAGGAUAUGGAUGACCAUCUGAAGGUAUGCAGGUUUCUUCCCAAACUUAACGACGAGAUACUAGGUGAAAGAAAUGCUCUCUACAAGGAAAGGUUGACCAGCCUAGAGAAUUUAGUACUGAUCAUGAGGUGAUCGACGCAGACUACCGCGACCCGGUGGGCGUCGUGCUCUUCAACAACUCGGAGGCGGACUUUGCUGUGAAGCCCGGCGACUGCGUCACACAGAUGAUUGUCCAGGUGAUUGCGAUGCCGGAGGUCGCCGAGGUGGAGGACCUUGACGUCACCG